UCGGGCGGUAGUGGCAGAGAGAAAG
rnacentral:piRNA from 1 species